AGAAUGAACGCUAGCGAUAUGCUUAACACAUGCAAGUUGAACGUUGUUUUCGAAUCAGAAUGAGAACAAAGUAGCGAACGGGUGCGUAACACGUGGGAAUCUGCCGAACAGUUUGGGCCAAAUCCCGAAUGAAUAAAAGCUAAAAAGCGCUGUUUGAUGAGCCCACGUAGUAUUAGGUAGUUGGUUAGGUAAAAGCUGACCAAGCCUACGAUGCUUAGCUGGUCUUUUCGGAUGAUCAGCCACACUGGGACUGAGACACGGCCCAGACUCCUACGGGAGGCAGCAGUGGGGAAUCUUGGACAAUGGGCGAAAGCCUGAUCCGGCAAUAUGGCGUGAGUGAAGAAGGGCAACGCAGCUUGUAAAGCUUCUUUCAUCGAGUGUGCGAUUGUGACAAGACUCGAAUAAGAACGCCCCGGCUAACCUCCGCGCCAGCAGCCGC
rnacentral:rRNA from 1 species